rnacentral:rRNA from 1 species
UACGUAGGGGGCGAGCGUUGUCCGGAUUUAUUGGGCGUAAAGGGCGCGUAGGCGGGGAGGUAAGUCGGGUGUGAAAUCCCUCGGCCCAACCGAGGAACUGCGCCCGAGACUGCUUCUCUUGAGUCCCGGAGAGGAAGGUGGAAUUCCCGGUGUAGCGGUGAAAUGUGUAGAGAUCGGGAGGAACACCGGUGGCGAAGGCGGCCUUCUGGACGGUGACUGACGCUGAGGCGCGAAAGCGUGGGGAGCAAACGGG